rnacentral:rRNA from 1 species
AUUGAACGCUGGCGGCAUGCCUUACACAUGCAAGUCGAACGGCAGCAUGAUCUAGCUUGCUAGAUUGAUGGCGAGUGGCGAACGGGUGAGUAAUACAUCGGAACGUGCCCUGUCGUGGGGGAUAACUAGUCGAAAGAUUAGCUAAUACCGCAUACGACCUGAGGGUGAAAGUGGGGGACCGCAAGGCCUCAUGCUAUAGGAGCGGCCGAUGUCUGAUUAGCUAGUUGGUGAGGUAAAGGCUCACCAAGGCGACGAUCAGUAGCUGGUCUGAGAGGACGAUCAGCCACACUGGGACUGAGACACGGCCCAGACUCCUACGGGAGGCAGCAGUGGGGAAUUUUGGACAAUGGGCGAAAGCCUGAUCCAGCAAUGCCGCGUGUGUGAAGAAGGCCUUCGGGUUGUAAAGCACUUUUGUCCGGAAAGAAAUGGCUCUGGUUAAUACCUGGGGUCGAUGACGGUACCGGAAGAAUAAGGACCGGCUAACUACGUG